rfam:Peptococcaceae bacterium BRH_c23 BRHa_1004397, whole genome shotgun sequence.
UUGAAUGAUGCCAAGAUUGUCGAUGCCCAAGCGGGGUAUGAAUCAAUGAUGACCUUGAUGGCAGCUAGCGUAACGGGUAUCAACUUUGUUCUUCAUACGG